rnacentral:rRNA from 1 species
UUUAAAUGUAAAAAAAUUUUACUAAAGUAGUAUUAGUUAUGUUCUUGAAAUUUAAAGAUUUUGGCGGUAUUUUAGUCUAUUUAGAGGAACCUGUUCUGUAAUUGAUAGUCCACGAUUAACUUUACUUAUUUUAUAAAUUUGUAUACCGUCGUUAUUAGAAAAUUUUAACAGAAAAUAAAUUUUUAAUAUUUUAAAUUAAAAAAUAUAUCAGAUCAAGGUGCAGUAUAUAUCUAAGAAGAAAUGGGUUACAAUAAAAUUAUUUAUAUGGAUUGGAGUUUUAAUUAACUUUAUGAAGGUGGAUUUAAUAGUAAUAAAAUUAAGUUAAAUUUUAUGAUUUUAGCUCUAAAAUAUGU